rnacentral:rRNA from 1 species
UACGGGAGGCAGCAGUGGGGAAUAUUGGACAAUGGGGGCAACCCUGAUCCAGCCAUGCCGCGUGUGUGAAGAAGGCCUUCGGGUUGUAAAGCACUUUUGUUGGGGAAGAAACCGGCCGGGUUAAUACCCUGGUUGAAUGACGGUACCCAAAGAAUAAGCACCGGCUAACUUCGUGCCAGCAGCCGCGGUAAUACGAAGGGUGCAAGCGUUACUCGGAAUUACUGGGCGUAAAGCGUGCGUAGGCGGUUUGUUAAGUCUGCUGUGAAAGCCCUGGGCUCAACCUGGGAACUGCAGUGGAUACUGGCGAGCUAGAGUGUGUCAGAGGAUGGUGGAAUUCCCGGUGUAGCGGUGAAAUGCGUAGAGAUCGGGAGGAACACCAGUGGCGAAGGCGGCCAUCUGGGACAACACUGACGCUGAGGCACGAAAGCGUGGGGAGCAAACAGGAUUAGAUACCCUGGUAGUCCACGCCCUAAACGAUGCGAACUGGACGUUGGGCACACUUAGGUGCUCAGUGUCGAAGCUAACGCGUUAAGUCGCCGCCU